rnacentral:SRP_RNA from 1 species
GUUUUGGUCCCGGGCGGCGCAAGGAACGUGAAUCCCGCCAGGCCCGGAAGGGAGCAACGGUAGCGGUCCGAGCGGGUGCCUGGGGCCACCCAAUUCGA